rnacentral:rRNA from 1 species
UACGAAGGGGGCUAGCGUUGUUCGGAUUUACUGGGCGUAAAGCGCACGUAGGCGGAUCGUUAAGUCGGGGGUGAAAUCCUGGAGCCUCAACUCCAGAACUGCCUUCGAUACUGGCGAUCUUGAGUCCGGAAGAGGUGAGUGGAACUCCUAGUGUAGAGGUGGAAUUCGUAGAUAUUAGGAAGAACACCAGUGGCGAAGGCGGCUCACUGGUCCGGUACUGACGCUGAGGUGCGAAAGCGUGGGGAGCAAACAGG